CUUUGUACCUUCACGUGCGAGAAUAUUGUGCUUGCACAUUAGGUCCACUAGAAUACUUCACGUAUUGUCACAAUUGAAUGUGACUAAACUAACGAGGCAGCAGCUGUGAACAUGGUCCAGACAGGUAUUACAUGACAUGGACUGGAUCUCCUGUCACAUCAGUACCCAGGGGUGGAUUUUGAAAAAUGUAGAGAGUUGUCAAAAGCUCCAGAUAUAUAUAACACACACACACAAAGACUGA